UAAUACGUAGGGUGCGAGCGUUAAUCGGAAUUACUGGGCGUAAAGCGUGCGCAGGCGGUUUUGUAAGACAGAUGUGAAAUCCCCGGGCUUAACCUGGGAACUGCGUUUGUGACUGCAAGGCUAGAGUACGGCAGAGGGGGGUGGAAUUCCUGGUGUAGCAGUGAAAUGCGUAGAGAUCAGGAGGAACACCGAUGGCGAAGGCAGCCCCCUGGGCCUGUACUGACGCUCAUGCACGAAAGCGUGGGGAGCAAACAGGAUUAGAUACCCUGGUAGUCCACGCCCUAAACGAUGUCGACUAGUCGUUCGGAGCAGCAAUGCACUGAGUGACGCAGCUAACGCGUGAAGUCGACCGCCUGGGGAGUACGGCCGCAAGGUUAAAACUUAAAGGAAUUGACGG
rnacentral:rRNA from 1 species